GACGUUGAUCGCAACUGCGCAGGUCUCGCUUGUCUCAAACAAGCAUAGUGUUUAUCGGUUCGCAGACGUAAUGAGCGACGUUGCAGUGGUCUACAUGUUAUAGAUGGGACAAUGGAUAAACUGGAUGAUGUUACAGUGUCAAUUUUUAAGGCUGCUAACAUCGAUGAGUUGUUGAUGCACUCCCUCACUCGUGAUGAUUUGAGAGACCUUUUUCCUGGGCCAGAACACUUUCUUAGGAGAAAAAGAGUGUGGUCUUUCAUCAGCCCAGAGGACGAGAAUCCUAUCUUACAAGAUAAAGAUGGCCCUUCUGAAACAGGAACUCCACCUUGUAGAAAACAUCCCCCCAACAUCCACUCCUUUGGAGAAAAUGCCCAAAGAUGACCCUACAGCUACCUAGUCCACCAGAGUAUGUGAUCUACACGGACAGUGAGUUGGAACAAGCUCGUAGACAUUACUUUGAGAUGGCCCGCACAGGCAGAGAGGGGGAAUGUGUAAUGUCCAAGGAGUUGAGUUGCAGGC